CCCUUCUCUUUAAAGCACCCUGCUAAAACUGCCUUUACCAAGCCUUCCAGGUUUGGCUUAGGCAGACAUGUGAGCAUGGGUACACCAGGGAAGGAGAUAGAAAGCACAGGAUUGCAAAUGAGGCUUGGAGGGACCUCUUUCUUAAUGUCCAAUUUCCUUUGUCUCAAGAUCCUGUGUUACACAG